GUGAGGAAUAUUGGGCAAUGGGCGAAAGCCUGACCCAGCCACGCCGCGUGAGUGAUGAAGGCCUUCGGGUUGUAAAGCUCUGUGGGGAGGGAAGAAAAAGCGGGAGAGUAACUGCUCUCGUGUUGACGGUACCUCCUUAGCAAGCACCGGCUAACUCUGUGUCAGCAGCCGCGGUAAUACAGAGGGUGCAAACGUUGCUCGGAAUUACUGGGCGUAAAGCGCGUGUAGGCUGACAUGCAAGUCGGGUGUGAAAUCCCAGGGCUCAACCUUGGAACUGCACUCGAAACUGCACGUCUUGAGUACUGGAGAGGGAAGCGGAAUUCCGGGUGUAGAGGUGAAAUUCGUAGAUAUCCGGAGGAACACCAGUGGCGAAGGCGGCUUCCUGGACAGUAACUGACGCUGAGGCGCGAAAGUGUGGGGAGCAAACAGGAUUAGAUACCCGAGUAGUCC
rnacentral:rRNA from 1 species